CAUGGAAAUGAUGAAUAGUUGCUCUACCGUAAUUUCUUUCAAGUACCUAGUUUUAAACUUUGAACUGUUUGAAGUUUUAGACACAACAAUUUUGAUCUAAGAUUUACUUUGAACUUGAAACUUGUCGGUAGCAAUGCUUGAUCUAAGUCUAGGUAUUUGGCGGAUACGAUGUGAGAAGGUCUCAGCUCUUGUUUAUCUUUUUCUUAGAGAUACUAGAGUUCUUAUAAAAAAUAUAUAAAAGUGCUACAUGAUGAGAUCCUGUAUGAUGAGAUCUUGAAUUCCUACAACAGUCAUAUAUACAUGCUUGUUAGACUAGGAAACCUUUCACUUAUAUUUACUACGUAUGAGCAUUUAGUAGAGUCAAACUGUGUUGACCCUUAGAGACUUGUCAUGCGGUUAAAAUCCAGAUCAUGUACUCCCCACCCAUACAAGCUACUUCUACCUUGGAAGUAUAGACCCACAUCCACUGUAUCUAGAUCCACCUAAAAUUGUUUUACUCCUACACUAGGAGUGAACACCAAAAACAAACUUUCCAUCCAUUCACCCAUUAUCCAUUACCAUCCAAAUAAAGCUCCAAAUAUUCCCAUGUUACUACCUACCAUCAAUAUGUCCAAAGAGGCUUAGGUUCUCAUUGAGAAAAAGAGAGAAGAAGAAAGAAAGAAAGAGGACAAAUGUCCCAAAAAGAAAAAAGAAGGAAAUAAAAAACGAGAUUGUAUCCCAUAUAUCUUCAAGUUCAAAAGAGAGGUAUGUAUUUCUUCAAGGAGCAAAAGUAGAAUUAGGCUUUCACCAUUACCAUCAUAUACACCCCUUCAUAACCACUUACACCUACCAUUAUCACCAUCCACUAUAUCCCAGAUAUCCACACACAUGCACAUCUUGAUUUGAUUGUAUGACUUAUUUCCCUGGAUCCAUAGUUUGACUUACAAUACAUGUUUGCAAGUAUGUAUGAGCUGGCUCACCACCUAUGAGCUCCAACAUAAGCCUAUUAGUUAUAGGGUGAGAGGGAGUGGGCAUAAUGCUACUACGCCUAAUGCCAAAAAUAUCACAUAUCUUGAGAGAUGAAACAAGGCAAACAUCAUUAAUGCCUUGGUAAGGAUUCACAAAUACCACAAGUGAGAGACUUGAGAGGGUCAUACAUAGGAAUCUCUGAGUAUUAUUUGAACAUCCACAAAAACUCCAGAAUGAAGGUUGACCA
rnacentral:lncRNA from 1 species